AUUUAAGUUAUUCUAUCCAUGGCUUUGGCUUGGUUCAUUUUGAUCAUCCUUGAUUUGAUGAAUAGACAUCCUUUGAAUAAAGACCCUAAUAUGCUAAUUAAAUGAAAAAAUUGAUUGGUUAGUUUUGUUGUUUUGUUAACUUAUUAGUCAAUUUGAUCCCAAUUUGUCACAUGAAGUCACUAAAUUUUGAAAAAUUGUGCAUAUCCUGAGGAAAAUUGGUACAAAGGAAAUAUUUCUUCAACGGGAAAUGGAUGAAAUGAAAAGAUAGAGGUAAUAUUGCACAAAGGAUGAUGAUUGAAAAUGGGGAUUGACGAUAUUACGAUGACGAUAAUACUACAUUAUUAUUUCAAUGAAAAAAACAGAAAUUAAUUAAUUUUGUAAACUUCCUUUCAACUUACACUUUUGUUUUUACUUUUACAAUGGCUUUUUUCACCACUUUGGUUACCAAAACAAAAUAUCUUGAUACAUUAAACUGUUGAAACUGAUCAGUGGAAAUCGUAGAUCCUAAUAGUUUUGAUUUAAGAAUCAUAUUCACUUUUUUAAAUUGUUGUUAUGAGUGAAGUAAAUAUAAAUCGUUUAAAAGAGUUGGCUAAACUUCCAUACAACAAUUUAUGUGCUGAUUGUAAUCAUCCAAAUCCUGAUUGGGCUUCUGUAACAAUUGGUGUUUUCUUGUGCUCAGAAUGUGCUCGUAUUCAUCGUGGAUUAGGAUCACACAUUUCGUUUGUAAAAUCAUUUGAUUAUGACAAUUGGGACCAAGAAUUGUUAACCUUUAUGGAACAGUAUGGCAAUGAGUUAGCCAAGGAACACUACGAGAAACAUGUGCCUCCCUAUUAUCGUCGACCUAAUCGUGAUGACCCAAAUGUACUCCGGGAACAAUGGAUCCGCGCUAAAUAUGAACGUAAAGAGUUUAUGCAUCAGGUUAACACUGUUUACAGUCGGGGUUACAUGGAGGGAUUCCUGAUGAAGAAAGGUAAAAAGGGCAAGAAACUUGAGAGAAGAAAAUUCGUAUUAUCUGAAGUUGAUCAGACACUCAAAUAUUAUAUAAAAAGUAGCAGCAAAACUCCUAAAGCAGUGAUUAACAUUCCUGAUUUAAAUGCAACCUUCUGUGAUCCGGCGAAGAUUAAAACAAUCAAAAGUCCAAAUGCUCUCCAAUUAACUUAUCUUAAAGACGUUUACACAAGAAGUAUUUACGUAUAUGCUGAUGACGGAAAGGAAAUUAUUGAUUGGUACAUGGCAAUUAAAGCUGCUAAAUAUCAAUAUCUUCAAAUAGCUUAUCCGACUUGCCCGCCGAUUGAAUUAUUACCUCAUUUGACUCGAGACUUUCUUAAAGAAGGUUAUCUUUGGAAGACUGGGCCAAAAAUCGGAGACUCUUAUAAGAAACGUUGGUUUACACUAGAUUAUCGUAAAUUAAUGUAUUUAGAAGAUCCAUUGGACCCCUUUCCUAAAGGUGAAAUAUAUUUAGGUGAAAAAGGAAAACAAUUUGCAAUAUCAUCAGGCAUUCCAGCUCCAUUGAAGAAACACAUGUAUGGAUUUAUAAUGAAAACACCAGAAAGAACUUGGCUUUUCAGUGCAGAAACGGAAGAAGAAAGGAAACAAUGGAUAUCUGUUAUUUCAUCUAUUCUUGAAACACCCGAAUCCACUCAAGGCUGUCAAGUUUACCUGAGAUAUAGUUUAAGAAAUUCAGUCUCUUACACGAAAUCACGAGACAGCAUGGGAAGCUAUCGCAAUAGUGGUUCAAGUUUCACUGGAACAUUAAGAAAGGGUAUUACAUUCAUUACCAAUCGUUAGACGGCGCCUCAUUUGUUUGUUUAUUUUUUUCAUCUGGAAGAGAACAAACUUGACAGUAAAAUAUCAGAAUUUAGUUAUUUUCAAUUGCUAUCUAAUAAUGUGCAUUGCAUUUAUUCAAAAUUAACUAUUUAACAAAAUAGAUCAUCUUCGGGCCGUAAUAGCUCAUAAACUGCAAGAAACAGUUCCCUGAUGAUUCAAGAUUAUGCAAGUAUCAUUAAUCCAAGGGAUGGCAAAAAUCAAUUCUAAUCUGUAAUGGAUCCUGGAAAAACAAGAAGAAUGACACCAAGAGCCAGUUUAAACAGAGAAAAGGCUGAUUUUCCUGUUAAAAAUCUGUUCAAGAAUGGUGUUAUUGAUAGGCAAAAGGUGUAUUAUAUUCUAAAGAAUCCUGAAGAGCCCAAAUGCAAGGUUACUAUUUCUGCUUUAUUAAAACAACAUCAUGAACAUAAAAGAAGAGCGCUGAAUGUCUCAAGAAAUAACCAUUUCGAUAGCUCUGUCGUCAAGAAUCUGGAUUUGCUUAUUGAAGGUGAUGUCGAUUUUCACCAAUUACCCCAAGAAUUUCGUCAAAAUUUGUUUCUAGAAAAUUUAACUGGUAAUAGAACAAACAGCUGUUCAUCUGACUCAUCUUCAUCUAGCUCAUCUACAGUGGCUUUGGCUGAUGAAUCAAGUUCAGAUGAAAGUGUCGAAAUAAUUGAAUAAGUUCAAAACAUAGUCCAUGGAAACUAUCAUAAGGACUGAGUACUAAUUAUGCAGAUCUUUAACAAAAUAACUCUAGUAUUACUUCAUUGUUCAAAAACUAACUCACACACCAGUAACUGGCAUCAAGGAAACACAAACACACUUUAAAUGUACAAAUAUUUCUCAUCUCCAAUGGAAAUUCCAGCAAAAAUAACGAUAAAUUAGAUUUAAAUAUGAACAGAUACAAGGAAAACUUCUUUAUGAUGGUGGAGAUUGAAUAUUGUCAUCCAUAGGAACAUUAAUUGUUUUAGCCAUCUAUUUGUCUCUCAAAUUUAAAGUUUACUUUCAUUUACUGCUAAAGUUCAUUCACACACAAUUCAAAUGUCUUUCGGAUGGUAUGAAUAUCUUGAAGUAUCAUAGUUAUAUCACCGAUCAAGUAAUAUUCUUUCAACAUGAACCAAUUAUUCAAAUAUAUCAAUUGUGUCUAUUGAAAGUAAAACUUUCAUUUGACCAAAAUGAAUACUGAAGGUUUUGCCAAGCUACAUAAUCAAUUCAACCCUGUUCAGCUUAUGGUUUUUUGGUUUCUUUACUUAAUUCUGAAUCAUUGUUUUAAGUUACAGCUUUAUCAUUUCUCUCAAACUUGCUUUCAUCCAUUAUUGUAAAGGUUCAUUUCAAAAUUAUUGUUUCACCCAAUGUAAAUUGAUAUAACUACAGAUUGUUCAUAAUUUGACAAGCUUAAAGAAAUUUUAUAUUGUGAUAUUUCCCUUUCAAGUCAACCAAGUCACCAUUUUUGUUAUCAAAUAAAAUAUAAGAGUAAUAAAGCAAAUUGAAAAAUCUUA